AUUGAACGCUGGCGGCAGGCCUAACACAUGCAAGUCGAACGAGUGGCGGACGGGUGAGUAAUGUCUGGGAAACUGCCCGAUGGAGGGGGAUAACUACUGGAAACGGUAGCUAAUACCGCAUACCAUCGGAUGUGCCCAGAUGGGAUAAGCUAGUAGGGUGGGUAACGGCUCACCUAUGCGACGAGUCCUAGCUGGUCUGAGAGGAUGACCAGCCACACUGGAACUAAGACACGUUCCAGACUCGUACGGGAGGCAGCAGUGGGGGAUAUUGCACAAUGGGCGCAAGUCUGAUGCAGCCAUGCCGCGUGUAUGAAGAAGGCCUUCGGGUUGUAAAGUACUUUCAGCGAGGAGGCGUUACUCGCAGAAGAAGCGCCGGCUAACUCCGUGCCAGCAGCCGCGGUAAUUC
rnacentral:rRNA from 1 species